rnacentral:rRNA from 1 species
AUUGAACGCUGGCGGCAGGCCUAACACAUGCAAGUCGAGCGGAUGAGAGGAGCUUGCUCCUCGAUUCAGCGGCGGACGGGUGAGUAAUGCCUAGGAAUCUGCCUAGUAGUGGGGGACAACGUUUCGAAAGGAACGCUAAUACCGCAUACGUCCUACGGGAGAAAGUGGGGGAUCUUCGGACCUCACGCUAUUAGAUGAGCCUAGGUCGGAUUAGCUAGUUGGUAGGGUAAAGGCCUACCAAGGCGACGAUCCGUAACUGGUCUGAGAGGAUGAUCAGUCACACUGGAACUGAGACACGGUCCAGACUCCUACGGGAGGCAGCAGUGGGGAAUAUUGGACAAUGGGCGAAAGCCUGAUCCAGCCUUGCCGCGUGUGUGAAGAAGGCCUUCGGGUCGUAAAGCACUUUAAGUUGGGAGGAAGGGCUCAUAGCGAAUACCUGUGAGUUUUGACGUUACCAACAGAAUAAGCACCGGCUAACUUCGUGCCAGCCGCCGCCGUAAAAC